UGGGGCGUCGCCAAGCGGUAAGGCAGCAGGUUUUGAUCCUGCCAUUCGGUGGUUCGAAUCCAUCCGCCCCAGCCA
rnacentral:tRNA from 1 species